UGUAAGGAAUGAUCUCCAUUUCUGCCUUGAGAUAAUGGUUUCGUUCAGUGCAAUGAUGAAUUCUGUGUAGAAUGCUUCCAUCAGAAGCAUAAAAAGAAAACAGAUGUGUUUACAUUGUCUCCAUGGAGACACAAACACACAAGCUAAAUUCACACUAGGAUCAGGGGAAGAUUCCUCCUACUUUGCCUUCCAGAGGAGAAUUGUAGAGAGAAUAUUUGAAGCAAAUGAGACAGAACUGACUACAGACCAUUUUUCUCCCUCGCCUUUUCAGCAGAGGAUUCUUUGAUCCCUCAGCGAAGAUUCCUGAAUGCCAUGAUGGCUGCUUGUCGUUCCACUAAGAUUUUGGUGAGAGUUCAAAAUACUUGUUCUAGUGUGACAAUGGGUCCAGCAUUUGUGAAGAGGCGAAUCUGACUGGAUGAGGAAUGUGGCACUUGGUUGUCAGCUGUGGAAUCUCCAGAGUUUGCAGUAGUGAGAGUCUGAAUAUGCUGCUGGAAUACAGCAGAAAGCAAUAAAGGGAAGGAGGGUUCUCUUCCAUCUGAGAAGGAGGAUUGUACAAAGGAAAAAAUGAAGACAGAAAAACCCUGUCUCAGGGAAUUCUUGGGUAUGUUAUUUUGGUAAAAACCCACAGACUUAGGGACUUCUUAGGUAUGCUGUUUUGUAAAAAAUGAAAAUCCCUUACCUGUGCAUUUUAACAAGGCCAAAAGCAGCUGAUUCUUCCCAUCUAAAACAGUUAAGAAAAGAAAUGCUGUAGUCAACAUAAUACCAAGGUAGAUUUGAUUGCAGCUGGUUAACAGUUCCCUCAUUUGCCCCAAAUCCCUGGCACCGGCAUGGCCAUGUCUAUUUACUCUGAUAGCCCUCACCUGCACAGACAUGUUCAUGACUGAAAAAAACCUAAGUGUAAAGCAAAGAAUUUUACUGGCUAACUACCAUGAAUUACUGGAAACAAAUUGCAUUUGCAGAUGAAUCCCUAAGGAGGUGAUUAUUAUCCAGUGUUUCAAACUGAUCUGUAAACGUCAGUUUCAUCUCCUGUUUCAGUUCAACCAGACUGCAGUGGUUUAGGAUGUUGUAAUAUCUGACUAACAUUCACUUUACAGUUUGGAAUAUACCAAACAUCUCUCUCUUCAUUUUCUAAAAGGGUUUAAAAAGCACAGAAAGAUAGAUCAGUCUGACAUCAAUCUGAAUGUGCUGAUGAAAAGUUCUUUGGAAUUGCUGCACAGGUGCCAUUUUACCAUAAAGCACCAGGACUCUGGAAACCAUAACCUGCUCUACCUGGUCCUCUCUAGAGCCCAGGACAGCCUUAUUACAACGCAGAAAAGAAACCACAUCCUGAGCCCCAAAAGACCAUCAAGACCAAACAGUCAUCACACUCCCUGAGGAAAAAGAGAACAUGGUAUCAUCUGUUUGCUCUCUAUGGGAAUCAGUUUUCAAAAUAAGCAUUAUAUGAGGAUGAAUUUACUCUGGCAAUCAUCCAGCUGAAGAAAAGCAGAGCAAGUCAUUAAACAAAUUGAGGUAGAACCUUUGGUGCCUUAGAUGUUCAGUGGUCAGCCCCUCCUUGGCUUAUCAGAGCACUCCUUCACCUUGAAUCUAACUAUCCCUACUUUGUACCCUUUCAAAUACAUUUACAGCAAAGUGGGGAUUUGGAAACAUGUGAAAGAGCUGAAAGAAUUGAGCAGCAUGUAACAAAAGAGGCUUCUCUGUGUUUCAGGAGGAAUUCCUAUGAAAAUUACCUCUUUGAGGUACAAUAAUUUCAGGCAUGGCACCUGCCUAAUGCACAACUGGGUAGAUGGCAGAGUUAAGGAACUCUGUGUGGCCAUAGCACAUAUGCUUUCAUGUUAAGCUCUGAAGUCUUGGAAAUCACAUUAUUAAAUACAGUCAAUCUAUUUCUUUACCUUGCAAACUGUGGUC